GAAAUCCCGUAAAUGGUCAAGCAAAGGCUGAGAAUUACAACUAGGCCACCCGCUGCGAGCGAGCCUGCUUGACCUGCAUAGGCGGUGUUCCUGAGUGGGCCCGUCUUGACGAACGGGCCGACUAGGAGAAGCCCGUGGGCCAGGCCGACUUCCACUCCUCGGAGAAGUGGGUUGACAGCUGUACGGUAGGCGGGUAGGUUGGAGAGGUACCAUGCGAUCAACGGGCUCGAUGUGACCGGGGU
rnacentral:lncRNA from 1 species